AUACUUACCUGGCAGGGGAGAUACCAUGAUCACAAAGGUGGUUUCCCCAGGGUGAAGCUCAUCCAUUGCACUCUGGGUGUGCUGAUCCUGCAAUUUCCUCAAAUGCAGGAAAUUCGACGGUGUAAUUUGUGGUAGUGGGGAAUUGCAUACGCGCUUUCCCCUG
rnacentral:snRNA from 1 species